GGAUGUGAGAGCCAUCUGGCUGACACAUCUGUCACCCCGUUGAUCACCAGGGUUGAUCUGGCUGAUCUGGCUGGCUAGACAGGUGUCCCCUUCCUCCCUCACCACUCCCUGUGCGUCCCUCCCGAAGAGGACCACCCUGAGAGAGGAAACCAUUCUUUGGUCAAGUAUAUGAGUAGCUGUUCUCCCCUGUUAGAAUGUCCAGACAAGCUCUCAAGGGCCUUUUGUAGGGGACUUAUGGGAGUCAAGCAAGCUUCCAAGACUCUAGACACAUCCAAAUGAGGCAUGUAGCUGUCUGCCUUU
rnacentral:snRNA from 1 species